ensembl:lncRNA
UAGGGGUUUAGGGUAAAUGGGUUUAGGGUAUAGGGUUUAGGGUAUAGGGGUUUAGGGUAAAUGGGUUUAGGGUAUAGGGGUUUAGGGUAUAGGGUUUAGGGUAUAGGGUUUAGGGUAUAGGGGUUUAUGGUAUAGGGGUUUAGGGUAUAGGGGUUUAGGGUAAAUGGGUUUAGGAUAUAGGGGUUUAGGGUGUAGAGGUUUAGGGUAUAGGGGUUUAGGGUACAGGGUAUAGGGGCAUAGGGGUUUAGGAUAUAGGGGUUCAGGAUGUAGGGAUGAGGGUUUAGGGGUUUAGGGUAUAGGAGUUCAGGAUGUAGGGGUUUGGAUGUAGGGGUCAUACGGGUUGAGGAGGG